rnacentral:rRNA from 1 species
UGCGUAGGCGGCGUGGUAAGUCAGAUGUGAAAUCCCGGGGCUCAACCUCGGAACUGCAUCCGAUACUGCCACGCUAGAGGACCGGAGAGGAGACUGGAAUUCUCGGUGUAGCAGUGAAAUGCGUAGAGAUCGAGAGGAACACUCGUGGCGAAGGCGAGUCUCUGGACGGUUCCUGACGCUGAGGCACGAAGGCCAGGGUAGCGAAAG